rnacentral:rRNA from 1 species
GGUGAACCUGCGGAAGGAUCAUUACCGAGUGCGGGUCUUUAUGGCCCAACCUCCCACCCGUGACUAUUGUACCUUGUUGCUUCGGCGGGCCCGCCAGCGUUGCUGGCCGCCGGGGGGCGACUCGCCCCCGGGCCCGUGCCCGCCGGAGACCCCAACAUGAACCCUGUUCUGAAAGCUUGCAGUCUGAGUGUGAUUCUUUGCAAUCAGUUAAAACUUUCAACAAUGGAUCUCUUGGUUCCGGCAUCGAUGAAGAACGCAGCGAAAUGCGAUAACUAAUGUGAAUUGCAGAAUUCAGUGAAUCAUCGAGUCUUUGAACGCACAUUGCGCCCCCUGGUAUUCCGGGGGGCAUGCCUGUCCGAGCGUCAUUGCUGCCCUCAAGCCCGGCUUGUGUGUUGGGCCCUCGUCCCCCGGCUCCCGGGGGACGGGCCCGAAAGGCAGCGGCGGCACCGCGUCCGGUCCUCGAGCGUAUGGGGCUUCGUCUUCCGCUCCGUAGGCCCGGC